ACGAACGCUGGCGGCAGGCUUAACACAUGCCCGUCGAACGCCCCGCAAGGGGAGUGCCCGACGGGUGAGUAACGCGUGGGAACAUACCCUUUUCUACGGAAUAGCUCUGGGAAACUGGAAUUAAUACCGUAUACGCCCUACGGGGGAAAGAUUUAUCGGGGAAGGAUUGGCCCGCGUUGGAUUAGCUAGUUGGUGGGGUAAAGGCCUACCAAGGCGACGAUCCAUAGCUGGUCUGAGAGGAUGAUCAGCCACAUUGGGACUGAGACACGGCCCAAACUCCUACGGGAGGCAGCAGUGGGGAAUAUUGGACAAUGGGCGCAAGCCUGAUCCAGCCAUGCCGCGUGAGUGAUGAAGGCCUUAGGGUUGUAAAGCUCUUUCACCGAUGAAGAUAAUGACGGUAGUCGGAGAAGAAGCCCCGGCUAACUUCGUG
rnacentral:rRNA from 1 species